rnacentral:rRNA from 1 species
AUUGAACGCUGGCGGCAGGCCUAACACAUGCAAGUCGAGCGAGUGGCGGACGGGUGAGUACUGUCUGGGGAACUGCCCGAUAGAGGGGGCUAACUACUGGAAACGGUGGCUAAUACCGCAUACUAUCGGAUGAACCCAUAUGGGAUUAGCUAGUAGGUGGGGUAAAGGAUCACCUAGUCGACGAUCCCUAGCUGGUCUGAGAGGAUGCCCAGCCACACUGGAACUGAGACACGGGCCAGACUCCUACGGGAGGCAGCAGUGGGGAAUAUUGCACAAUGGGCGCAAGCCUGAUGCAGCCAUGCCGCGUGUAUGAAGAAGGCCUUCGGGUUGUAAAGUACUUUCAGCGGGGAGGCGUUACCCGCAGAAGAAGCACCGGCUAACUCCGUGCCAGCAGCCGCGGUAAUUC